rnacentral:lncRNA from 1 species
GCCCAAAUCAAAAGUGGAUGGGUAUAAAUAACCCCAUUCGCACCCAAACCCUAACCCUAGCCGCCAAAGCCCCUCACCGGAUAAGACAGCUUAACCGUUGGGGAGUCGACCGCCGUACCAGAGCAAUUUUCGACUGCUAAACGAGGUAAAAAUUUCUCCUCUUGCAUGAAAUUCAAUUCUAAACCCACCUAUGGCCAAAUUGGAGUGAAAGAACCGUCCGAUUGGCUGAAAAAUGCCGCUGAAACUCGGCAGCGCCGCCGCGGGGUGUUUCAAAAAUUGCCUCCGAUGAGGCCUUUCUCAAUUCCCGUUCGAUGUGAUUUUUCCACCGUUGUGACCAUCGUUUCCUUCUCUACAGGUUGAUCCAAGCAGAACACCCAACUGCACCGUAAGUCGGAGGAGCCGCCGCACUAGAGAGCCCCACCGCCGGUGAGUUU